UCUCGAUUGGUCUAGUGGUAAGGAUACCUGCUUGUCAACAGGGGUUGUUCAAACUCUGCUUGAGUGGGGCAACGCCAACCUCGCCGGAGGUUAGUGCGCAGGUGGCCGGGGUUCGAUUCCCCGAUCGAGAG